AUGGAAGAAAUUAUUCAGAGAAUUGAAAAUGUCCUAGAUGCAAACUGCAGCAGAGACGUAAAACAGAUGCUCUUGAAGCUUGUUGAACUCUGGUCGACUAACUGGGUUAGAGUCCAUGCAACCUCAACAUACAGAGAAGCAACACCUGAAAAUGAUCCUAACUACUUUAUGAAUGAACCAACAUUUUAUACAUCUGAUGGUGUUCCUUUCACUGCAGCUGAUCCAGAUACUUGGAUGAUAUUGAUGAUGAGAUGGACCCAGAGAUUGAAGAAGCUUAUGAAAAGUUUUAUUUGGAAUGAGAACAUAAACGAAAACAGUAAAGUUAAAUUUCAGCACAUCAGUUUUAUAAAACAAUUUACGUAUGAUGAUUUAGCAGAACACAGGAAAGCAAGAACACAUGUCAUACGUAUACCAAAUUAAGGAUGCUGAGUUAUGUUACUAAUGUAUGCAACUUUAAUUUUAACACUAUCUGCCAAAAUAAACUUUAUUCCCUGUAACUUAAAAAAAAAGAGAGAGCAGCUGUCCUUUGUUCAGACCAUUUCACCUUCCCUUUAUGCACCCAAAGUUUGCUGUUUAUUUUGUAGGUUUGAGAAAAGUGAUUGUAGCACAGGGCUUGUUUUGAUCUUUGUUCCUAUUCCCUCAGUGUAGGGUGAUUGGUAAACAUUUCAGAAGCCAGUGGCUGCUGGGCUCUAUUUUAGCUGUCUGAGAACCAUAGAAUUAUAGAGUUUUUUUGUUUUUUUGUUUGAUUGAUUGGUACAGGAUUGUAGUGCAUGAUUACAUUCAUCAUGGAGAGGUGGCACAUAUACAUACAUAGUUUUUCAACUUUUUUUGCAAACUUAUUAGUGUAGGGCCAGGACGCCCUGUAGGUAGGGAAAAGACAGGAUGAAGGCCUCAUUGAGCUUUAUUAAAAAUUAGUAAGUGGACCGGGAUUUAGCUCAGUGGUUCUGUUGCCUGCCUUGCAAGCACAAGGACCCGAGUUUGAUCCCUGGUACAAAAAAUAAAAAAAUAAAUUAAUAGGCAGUUUAGGCCUAGGUAGCCAGACUGGAGCAAUUAGAAAGACAAAAGCUCUGGGAAUGUCCCAGGUAGCGAUUAACAUAAGAAUUGCACACUUCCCCUUUACUUAAUCCUUAACAGUAAACUACCUGUCCAACACACACACACACACACACACACACACACACACACACACACACACACACACAC
rnacentral:lncRNA from 1 species